GCUGGCCCCAUGAAAUAAUUGGGACACCAGGAGGGGCAGGGUCAGAGGACCUCUAAAUAGCUCUGUAGUCUUGGCCUCAGGGAGUGAUUACCUGCAAUAUGCCAGGGUACUGUCCCUGUAAACAAUGAGGCUGGAAGGCAAGAAAGGAGCAGCUCCCUGGCAUUUUGCUGCUGGAGCACGGAAGCAGUGCUGGCCAGGAGCUCACAGGGGACAUUUGGCAACGUCCAGGGACAAUUUCUGAUGGUCACAACGAAGUGGUUGCUACUAGCAUCAAGUGGGU